GAAACUAACCAGGAUUCCCCCAGUAACGGCGAGUGAACGGGGAUUAGCCCAGCAUCGAAGCCUAUGCCUAUUUGGGUGUAAGGCAAUGUGAUGUUAUGGGGUACGCCUAGGGUCACUGAUCAACUCGAAGUCCAAUAUUGAAUGUGGCUUUGUAUUUGGCCCAAAGCGGGUGAUAGGCCCGUGCGAGUUGAUUGUUAGUCAUGUUAAGUGGCCUUUAGAUGCAUGCUCUAUGGAGUCGGAUUGCUUGAGAAUGCAGUCCAAAGUUGGUGGUAAACUCCAUCAAAGGCUAAAUACUGGCACGAGUCCGAUAGCAAACAAGUACCGUGAGGGAAAGUUGAAAAGUACUCUGAAGAGAGAGUAAAUAGCACGUGAAACCACAUACAGGUAAACUGGUGGAGUCCAGCUGCGUAUUGUGAGGACUUAGCUGGUGUGUGCACUGUGGAUAUUGUGAAUUGCUGUUGAUGGUUUGUCUUUAAUGACAAAUUGGGCAUUAGUCUCAAUUCAUGUCCGUCUUGUAGAUGGUAUGAGCUAUUUUCGGCGUCUGUUCACAUGCCAGUGUCAUUCCUUGCAAUUGACAUCACAGUCAAUAUUGCUGCUAGUGUGUGAUGGUCAAACCGUGGAGUGGUGGGCCUUGAAGUUCACUCUCUACGCGGAUGGCAGGUGGCUUGAUUAUUUGCCUUUGUGUGAAUAAUUAGGCUUAAAUUAUGGUUGCGACCAGCCGAUCAUCAUGCUGUGUAAUGUUUACAUUUAACUAUGCAGUAUAUUGGUAAUGAUAUUCAUGACUUAACAAUUCUAUUAUCAGAUUGGCUCGCGUGGAGUUAUGUGUAAAAGCGUGCUCAGCGUGUGGUAUCAGUCUGUAUAUUAGUUUUUGUACGGUUAUGUUUUCACAUAAACUGUGGUGUUAUGGUA
rnacentral:rRNA from 1 species